CCUACGGGAGGCAGCAGUGAGGAAUAUUGGUCAAUGGGCGCGAGCCUGAACCAGCCAAGUAGCGUGAAGGAUGACUGCCCUACGGGUUGUAAACUUCUUUUAUAAAGGAAUAAAGUGAGGCACGUGUGCCUUUUUGUAUGUACGUUAUGAAUAAGGAUCGGCUAACUCCGUGCCAGCAGCCGCGGUAAUACGGAGGAUCCGAGCGUUAUCCGGAUUUAGUGGGUUUAAAGGGAGCGUAGAUGGGUUGUUAAGUCAGUUGUGAAAGUUUGCGGCUCAACCGUAAAAUUGCAAUUGAUACGGGCAGUCUUGAGUACAGUUGCGGUCGGCGGAAUUCGUGGUGUAGCGGUUAAAUGCUUAGAUAUCACGCAGAACUCCGAUUGCGACGGCAGCUUACUAAACUGCCACUGACAUUGCUGCUCGAAAGUGUGGGUAUCAAACAGGAUUAGAUACCCGUGUAGUC
rnacentral:rRNA from 1 species